rnacentral:rRNA from 1 species
GACGAACGCUGGCGGCGUGCCUAAUACAUGCAAGUAGAACGCUGAAGAGAGGAGCUUGCUCUUCUUGGAUGAGUUGCGAACGGGUGAGUAACGCGUAGGUAACCUGCCUGGUAGCGGGGGAUAACUAUUGGAAACGAUAGCUAAUACCGCAUAAGAGUAGAUGUUGCAUGACAUUUGCUUAAAAGGUGCAAAUGCAUCACUACCAGAUGGACCUGCGUUGUAUUAGCUAGUUGGUGAGGUAACGGCUCACCAAGGCAACGAUACAUAGCCGACCUGAGAGGGUGAUCGGCCACACUGGGACUGAGACACGGCCCAGACUCCUACGGGAGGCAGCAGUAGGGAAUCUUCGGCAAUGGACGGAAGUCUGACCGAGCAACGCCGCGUGAGUGAAGAAGGUUUUCGGAUCGUAAAGCUCUGUUGUAAGAGAAGAACGAGUGUGAGAGUGGAAAGUUCACACUGUGACGGUAUCUUACCAGAAAGGGACGGCUAACUACGUGCCAGCAGCCGCGGUAAUACGUAGGUCCCGAGCGUUGUCCGGAUUUAUUGGGCGUAAAGCGGGCGCAGGCGGUUAGAUAAGUCUGAAGUUAAAGGCUGUGGCUUAACCAUAGUACGCUUUGGAAACUGUUUAACUUGAGUGCAAGAGGGGAGAGUGGAAUUCCAUGUGUAGCGGUGAAAUGCGUAGAUAUAUGGAGGAACACCGGUGGCGAAAGCGGCUCUCUGGCUUGUAACUGACGCUGAGGCUCGAAAGCGUGGGGAGCAAACAGG